GCCUACGGGGCGCAGCAGUAGGGAAUCUUCCACAAUGGGCGAAAGCCUGAUGGAGCAACGCCGCGUGGGUGAAGAAGGUCUUCGGAUCGUAAAACCCUGUUGUUAGAGAAGAAAGUGCGUGAGAGUAACUGUUCACGUUUCGACGGUAUCUAACCAGAAAGCCACGGCUAACUACGUGCCAGCAGCCGCGGUAAUACGUAGGUGGGAAGCGUUAUCCGGAUUUAUUGGGCGUAAAGGGAACGCAGGCGGGCUUUUAAGUCUGAUGUGAAAGCCUUCGGCGUAACCGGAGUGGUGCAUUGGAAACG
rnacentral:rRNA from 1 species